rnacentral:rRNA from 1 species
UACGGAGGGUGCAAGCGUUGCUCGGAAUUAUUGGGCGUAAAGGGUAGGUAGGUGGUCUUAUUUGUCUGGGGUGAAAGCCUUGAGCUUAACUCAAGAAGUGCCUCAGAAACGGUAAGACUGGAGUCCUGGAGAGGGUCGUGGAAUUCCCGGUGUAGCGGUGAAAUGCGCAGAUAUCAGGAGGAACACCGAUGGCGAAGGCAGGUCUCUGGGCCAUAACUGACGCUGAGAAGCGAAAGCAUGGGGAGCGAACAGG